GGUAGAAUGGCUGAGAAUUAGGCAAUAGAUUGUAAAUUUAUUUAGGAGGGAAUAACCUCUUCUAUCA
rnacentral:tRNA from 1 species